rnacentral:rRNA from 1 species
GACGAACGCUGGCGGCGUGCUUAACACAUGCAAGUCGAACGGAAAGGCCCUGCUUGCAGGGUACUCGAGUGGCGAACGGGUGAGUAACACGUGGGUGAUCUGCCCUGCACUUCGGGAUAAGCUUGGGAAACUGGGUCUAAUACCGGAUAGGAGCCAUCUUUAGUGUGGUGGUUGGAAAGUUUUUUCGGUGUAGGAUGAGCUCGCGGCCUAUCAGCUUGUUGGUGGGGUAAUGGCCUACCAAGGCGGCGACGGGGAGCCGGCCUGAGAGGGUGUACGGCCACAUUGGGACUGAGAUACGGCCCAGACUCCUACGGGAGGCAGCAGUGGGGAAUAUUGCACAAUGGGCGCAAGCCUGAGGCAGCGACGCCGCGUGGGGGAUGAAGGCCUUCGGGUUGUAAACUCCUUUCGCUAGGGACGAAGCUUUUUUGUGACGGUACCUAGAUAAGAAGCACCGGCUAACUACGUG